rfam:Pteropus alecto contig13929, whole genome shotgun sequence.
GUCUAUGGCCAUGCUACCCUGAACAAACCCGAUCCUGUCUGAUCUCAGAAGCUAAGAAGGGUCGAGCCUGGUUAGUAUUUGGAUGGGAGACCACCUAGGAAGACCAGGUGCUGUAGGCG